AUUCAGCUGAACAGCUCCAAAUAGGGCGAAAUGCGUGUUUUGGAU
rfam:Schistosoma mattheei strain Denwood, Zambia genome assembly, scaffold: SMTD_scaffold0001874